UAGGGAAUCUUAGGCAAUGGACGAAAGUCUGACCGAGCAACGCCGCGUGAGUGAAGAAGGUUUUCGGAUCGUAAAACUCUGUUGUUAGAGAAGAACAAGGACGUUAGUAACUGAACGUCCCCUGACGGUAUCUAACCAGAAAGCCACGGCUAACUACGUGCCAGCAGCCGCGGUAUUACGUAGGUGGCAAGCGUUGUCCGGAGUUAUUGGGCGUAAAGCGAGCGCAGGCGGUUUCUUAAGUCUGAUGUGAAAGCCCCCGGCUCAACCGGGGAGGGUCAUUGGAAACUGGGAGACUUGAGUGCAGGAGAUGGUAGUGGAAUUCCAUGUGUAGCGGUGAAAUACGUAGAUAUAUGGAGGAACACCAGUGGCGAAGGCGGCUCUCUGGUCUGUAACUGACGCUGAGGCUCGAAAGCGUGGGGAGCAAACAGG
rnacentral:rRNA from 1 species